rnacentral:misc_RNA from 1 species
UCCGACUUAACGUCGGCAGUCUCUCUAGAGUGCCCAACUAAAUGCUGGCAACUAAAGACAAGGGUUGCGCUCGUUGCGGGACUUAACCCAACAUCUCACGACACGAGCUGACGACAGCCAUGCAGCACCUGUCUGGCGGCCCGAAGGCGGACCCAUUUCUGGGAUCCUUCCACCAGAUGUCAAACCCAGGUAAGGUUCUUCGCGUUGCAUCGAAUUAAACCACAUGCUCCACCGCUUGUGCGGGCCCCCGUCAAUUUCUUUGAGUUUUAACCUUGCGGCCGUACUCCCCAGGCGGGAUACUUAACGCGUUAGCUUCGGCACUGAAGGGGUCAAUACCUCCAACGCCAAGUAUCCAUCGUUUAUGGCGUGGACUAC